AAUUUACUGUAAAGUCCAUAAAAAUGAAACAGAAGGAAACUGAGAGUGGUACAACAAGAAAGAAAACAAACGCUAUAAGGACAGACCUUAAUGAAGGCAGACAGGAGGAAAACAGUGCAGAGAGCUCUGAGCCUGGCACAUCUUCAAGGAAUUCUGACACAUCAAACAUAGAACAAAGACUGAAAAAGCAGGUGAGACAAAAAGAGUUGAUUAUAAUCAUUGGAUAAUAUUUUAUCCAGUUAUAAACUUGAAACUAUAUAUGAAAGAGAAGAUAUGUGUAUCUAUACUAGG